AUUGAACGCUGGCGGCAGGCCUAACACAUGCAAGUCGAGCGGUAGCACAGGGAGCUUGCUCCUGGGUGACGAGCGGCGGACGGGUGAGUAAUGUCUGGGAAACUGCCUGAUGGAGGGGGAUAACUACUGGAAACGGUAGCUAAUACCGCAUAACGUCGCAAGACCAAAGAGGGGGACCUUCGGGCCUCUUGCCACCCGAUGUGCCCAGAUGGGAUUAGCUAGUAGGUGGGGUAACGGCUCACCUAGGCGACGAUCCCUAGCUGGUCUGAGAGGAUGACCAGCCACACUGGAACUGAGACACGGUCCAGACUCCUACGGGAGGCAGCAGUGGGGAAUAUUGCACAAUGGGCGCAAGCCUGAUGCAGCCAUGCCGCGUGUAUGAAGAAGGCCUUCGGGUUGUAAAGUACUUUCAGCGGGGAGGAAGGUGUUGAGGUUAAUAACCUCAGCAAUUGACGUUACCCGCAGAAGAAGCACCGGCUAACUCCGUGCCAGCCGCCGCAGUAA
rnacentral:rRNA from 1 species